UAUGCCGAGCAGGACGAAAGCCAGAGGCAAACUCUGGUGGAGGUCCGCAGCGAUUCUGACGUGCAAAUCGAUCGUCCGACUUGGGUAUAGGGGCGAAAGACUAAUCGAACCGUCUA
rnacentral:rRNA from 1 species